CCAUAUCAUGUUGAAACACCAGUUCCUGUAUGAUCACUAAAGUUAAGCAAAGUCGAGCCUGGUUAGUGCCUAGAUGGUUGAUUCCUUGGCAAUACCAGGUGCUGUGA